AGGCAUAGUGAAAAUGGGCGGCGAUGGAUACUCCCAGCACUUGCUGAGCACUGCUACGCCUCAGGACUGGGACAGAGAGAACCAUUCUCUGCUUUCAAUAGGACAGAAGAGCUCCUUGGCACUGGAUGCCUCCGGGUCUGGUUGAGAGAGGAAUGGUUAGGAGACUGUUCUGAGGAUACGCAGACAUCAUCCAAAGCUUCCUACAUUCAGAUGAGGACAGAGGUUGGGCCAGAGCUUUGUAAGCUUGUUACCUAAGGAUGGUUCUGACCAUGUAAGCAGAUCACAGAAGCACUGUUCACAAUAGCAAAGACUUGGAACCAAUCCAAAUGCCCAUCAAUGAACACCUGGAUAAAGAAAAUGUGGCACAUACACAGCAUGGAAUACUAUGCAGCCAUAAAUAAGGAUGAAUUCAUGUCCUUUGCAGGGACAUGGAUGAAGCUGGAAAACAUCAUUCUCAGCAAACUAAGCUAUUCACAGAUCAUCAUCAGCCAGAGGUGACUUCUGUUGCUUGCAGCUCAGAAUCCUAGAUGUUUCCGGUGGCACUGAAGAGCCUCUGCUGAAGCUCUAUACCAUUUGCCAUUUACAAAGGGAAAUGAAAUAAUAACGCUGACCAUUUGUGGAGCACAUUCUGU
ensembl:lncRNA PROX1-AS1 PROX1 antisense RNA 1